rnacentral:rRNA from 1 species
CCUACGGGUGGCAGCAGUGAGGAAUAUUGGUCAAUGGGCGGAAGCCUGAACCAGCCAAGUAGCGUGCAGGAUGACGGCCCUACGGGUUGUAAACUGCUUUUAUACGGGAAUAACGCGCCUUACGUGUAGGGCUUUGCAUGUACCGUAUGAAUAAGGACCGGCUAAUUCCGUGCCAGCAGCCGCGGUAAUACGGAAGGUCCGGGCGUUAUCCGGAUUUAUUGGGUUUAAAGGGAGCGUAGGCCGCAUGUCAAGCGUGCUGUGAAAUGUCCGGGCUCAACCCGGGCCUUGCAGCGCGAACUGGCGUGCUUGAGUCCGCGGAAAGCAGGCGGAAUUCGUGGUGUAGCGGUGGAAUGCUUAGAUAUGACGAAGAACCCCGAUUGCGAAGGCAGCUUGCUGCAGCGGAACUGACGCUGAUGCUCGAAAGCGCGGGUAUCGAACAGGAUUAGAUACCCUUGUAGUC